AGUGUGUGCUUAGUUGUCAUUUGUUUGUGGUGCCCACAACAGGUUCUCAUGUUUGCAAAUGCUUCCACAGGCCUAAAUGAAUAAGUGACCCAAGGUGGUGUUUAGCAGUGUUCGAAAUUAGCCAGGCGCCAGGCGCAUUUUGGACCUGUUAGCAACUAGCGCCUGACAUCUCCACCAUCUGGUGGUGCAUGCCUGGGGAACAUUGGCUCUUGAGUCUUUUCACAAACUAAUACUACAUCCUGUAUAAUUCUUUCCGUUACACUUUCUGCACAAUCAGAAUGAAUUUCAGGAACCAAAAUGCUUUUUCUGUGCAGCCUGAGCAGGAGCAUUGAGCAAUGUUAUACUUAAUUGUUGCAGCUUGUCUUCAGUUACCCUAUCCCACUGCCCUGCUCACAGUUGUGAAGAAUAUUCUUACAUUAUGAAUGCUCUGUGUUACCUUUAAGAAAAAGAGGCAGGAACAGGCCAAUAUAUAUAUAUGUGGACUGUCCCUUGAUCAAGUGACUUUUCUUCUUUACAUUCUCAAAGCUCUUAACCUAGCUCAAGGUUGUCCUCUGAACUAGCCAGAUGUUUAACUGAUAAUCAAUCACAGUCAGCCCAUCAUUUGAAAAAUAAGACAUUGGCGACAUCUUUCCCAAAAAUGGCAACUAGACUUUCCAUUUUGGUGACUGUAACCUUUAAGGAACAAUCUGGCGCCUAGUUUAUAUAUCUGAGUUUCUGACACUGGUGUUAUAAGAUUGCAACCAUAUCAUAUCAUGUCAUCGAUUCCCUCCCUUCCUCAAUGACUUGCCAUUGUGAGUUAGCUCCAAAUACCCGAUUUGUCCUGAUGCAAAACAGUUGUUUCUAACCUACACAAUGGAUAAUGUUUGCUCAGAACACCUGCCAGAAUUGUGUUUAUACGGGUGCCUUGUGCACUAUAUCUAAAUAAACAGAAGUCUUGGAAGUGUAGUGAUAAGCCAGUGAAGUAUUGGUUUCCUGGUUGCGAAAUGUUAUGUGUAAAGAAUGACUUUUUGUGUGCGCGCGUGUGCGUGUUAUUGUCUGACAGCAAAAGAAGCUUUUAAAAACCUUCCAGUCACUUAGAGCGAAGCUAUACAAUGCAAAGUUUGGUACUACUGGCAGACCAUAUCCAUCACUGAAAUGGCAAGUCUCAGCGUUAUGAAAGAAAACUUGUGGCAGGGUGGCGGGGGCAGGGGCAUGCGGAGAGAAUAGGCGAAGAGAGCUGUUCAGUCCAGUUUACAUUUGUCACUGCUGACUAGCCUUUAAAAAAUGUAUUAGCUGUGUAUGGCAGUAAGUAAGAUCCAGCUGCAGAGGAUUACUGAUCUGAGUGGGUCGGGGAAGGUUGGAAUGCAUUCAGUUCCAUCAAGGGAUUUGUGUCCCUCGUCAUUAGCCCUAACAUGACUAAAGCACCGAAGAUUAAGAACAGACCAGUGUCACCUGCUCUGAACUCUGGAAAAAUACCCCAAAACAACUAAAAGGAAAAGGAAACACAAGAGAACUCUGUAUUGGGGAGAGUAACAAAGGAAGAGGUGAAUUAUCUGAGGAGGGAAAGGCUUCAACCACUUAAGGUGAUAUAUAAAGGGGGGAGGGAGGAGGGGAAAGACCAAAACCUGAAUGUGGGAGGCACCCACAAAUCAGGAGUAACUCUGUGAAAGGCAAUCUGAAGCGCAUUUAAUUAUACUGAGUCAACCUAAAUCAGAGUACUCCACCUCAACCGAUUUAUAUUGCACAGGGGAAAAACAUGACUGUGGGCAAAUCACUUCUACUGUUGAUUGAAUGUGACUGUGGGUAGUCAUUUAUAUAACAAGUGGCUCCAAGGAAACACCGCUUCCCAUUGAAUGCCAUUUUUGCGGAGAGUUUUAAAAAGUUGCAUUUAGUGUUUGUGAAUGAGUCCACAGCCUCAUUUGAACCAGUGCUCCAAAAUGGCAAGUGGGCAUUCUGUUUUGGCAACUGUAACCCUGGUUUAAGGAGCCAUUUGGUGCCUAGCUUAUAUGUCUGAGUUUCUAACACUGCUCAUGGAACCUCAAAUACUUAUCUGAACCAGGCCAAAAUAUUUCAACCUCCACUAAAUUAUAGGCACAGACCCAUCUACAGUAAAGGUGUUGUGAAAGUGACCUACCUUACAAGCAAGUUGUAAAGACUACUGAGGACUCUGAAUAGUUCAAACUAUAUGAAUUCUAAGUGUUAUUAAAUGUAUGUGUUAAACACAUUAGAAUCAGAGAAGCAAUCACCACAAAGACCUGCUUUUUUCUGGGGUUUUGAAUUCUGCUUACAUGCCAGCUAGCAGUUCAGUGGCAGGAAGGCUUUUGGCACGGUGAAGCCAUGAAGUGGUAAACUAGAAGCAUCUGUAAAAAUUUAGAGGGAAUAUCAGCUUUCUCAAAGCUCUAGCCGAAAGACUAAUGAGGUGCAAAUGAUAGCACCACAUAACCCUUCUCCACCCCAACUGUGGAAUGAGAUAUUGCAGCACAAAUACAAAAUUAAGGCAUGGGCUUCAAUACUGAAGCAUACCGAGACAAUAUUUUUUUCUUCUCCUUUUGGAUUGCUGUCAAAUUGCAGAGGUGGGCCAGCUUGUAUUGCAUUGCCUUCUUCCCUAAAGAAAAGGGUGUCAAUGAUUAUCUUAUCUGCACACAAACUUUUUUUUUUUGGUCAAUUAUUCUAAUAAAUGGCUGCUUGUUUUCAUCUUUGGGCUUCUGCUUUUGCUUUUUUUCUUUCUUUCAAGAGAAAGGAACUUCUUGGGAGAUUCGGAAACUUGAGCACAGCACAGUCAGGGUGUGAUCUGCUUUCUCUUAACAGCAGAUGGCAGGUUUAGGCUGGCAACCUUGCCUUUCUUAACCUGGCUAGUCAAUAGUUUUUGCGUUCUGUCUGUCGUCCGAAAAUGAGGCCUAAACUGUUACGAAAAUUCUGGAGAACAUUUCUGUUUCCCGGAGCAGAACACAAACGAAACUCUCCCACUGAGACUUGUUUGUUUAUGAAUUUUAGUCCUUUCGCUCCUUGGUAUUUAUAGGAAAAAUUGCUCCUACUUAGCAACACCUGAAGCCUUUAUUGCCAGGCUCAUCCCACUUACAAAAUAUGUGUUUAGGGGCAGAGGUGUGGUGCCUUAAAAUGGCUCAUUCUUGUCAUAACAGGCAUGGCAUUAGUCUUGCUGAGUAGCGACUAGAAGCGACAGCACAUUGUCUGAGGUGCCUCAAGGGCACUCAAUCAUCACUCCUACACAACACAAAUGUGCAUUCGAAGGCACUGUCUGCGGCACUGUUCCAAGGUUCAAUGCCAUCAAAGGAGCAAGAGAAGAUAAGAACAUUGCUUUCUUCUUUUCUUUUCUUUUAAAAAAAUGUUACUUUGCUUUGCUAAAUUUCUAGUAAGUGGGGGGAAAGUAAAUUCAAUGCAAGGACAAAGUAGGGGUCCUGUACAAUGGCCAUCUCCCUCCCCCCAUUUAAAAUGGAAGGCACAAAGGGAUUUUGCAAUGGCUUUGUAGCAGUGGUGCCUCUAUCAUUGCUUAGCUAAGCUCCCCAUCUGCUGCAGGGGUUAGGGGAAGCAGGGGUGGAAAUACCUGCAACUGAUGUUCUUUUUUUCUUUUUCUUUUUCAAGAAUUUUUAUUGCAAAAUAAAUACAUCAGUACCAAGCCAUACAU
rnacentral:lncRNA from 1 species